UGAAUACGAGACGCUAAGGCGUUGAAGUAGUGUAUGUCAUACUUCCAAGAAAAGCUUGCACUGUCAUAGAUAAAAAACGCCUGUACCAUAACCGACACAGGUGGGUAGGUAGAGUAUACUAAGGGGCGCGAGAUAACUCUCUCUAAGGAACUCGGCAAAAUAACUCCGUAACUUCGGGAGAAGGAGUGCCUUAUUUAUAAGGCUGCAAUAACAAGAUCCAAGCAACUGUUUAUCAAAAACACAGGUCUCCGCUAAGUCGUAAGACGAUGUAUGGGGGCUGACGCCUGCCCAGUGCCAGAAGGUUAAAGAAGUUGGUUAGCAAUAGCGAAGCUGAUAACUGAAGCCCUGGUGAACGGCGGCCGUAACGAUAACGGUCCUAAGGUAGCGAAAUUCCUCGUCGGGUAAGUUCCGACCCGCACGAAAGGCGUAAUGAUUUGGAUACUGUCUCGGAGAGGGGCUCGGUGAAAUAGACUUGUCUGUGAAGAUGCGGACUACCUGCACCAGGACAGAAAGACCCUAUGAAGCUUUACUGUAACUUGAAAUUGAAAUUGGACUUUAUUCGCGCAGUAUAGGUGGGAGGCGUUGAUUGUAAUCUUGCGGGAUUAUUGGAGCCAUCAGUGAGAUACCACCCUUGUAAUGUUAGAUUUCUAACUUUGAAUCAUUAUCUGGUCAAAGAACAGUUUCAGGCGGGCAGUUUGACUGGGGCGGUCGCCUCCUAAACGGUAACGGAGGCGUACAAAGGUUUCCUCUGAACGGUUAGAAAUCGUAUCUAGAGUGUAAAGGCAUAAGGAAGCUUGACUGUGAGACCUACAAGUCGAGCAGGGACGAAAGUCGGUCUUAGUGAUCUGACGGUACUGAGUGGAAAGGCCGUCACUCAACGGAUAAAAGUUACUCUAGGAUAACAGGCUGAUCUCCCCCAAGAGUUCACAUCGACGGGGAGGUUUGGCACCUCGAUGUCGGCUCAUCGCAUCCUGGGGCGGUAGUACGUCCCAAGGGUUGGGCUGUUCGCCCAUGAAAGCGGUACGCGAGCUGGGUUCAGAACGUCGUGAGACAGUUCGGUCCAUAUCCGGUGUAGGCGUUAGAAUAUUGAGAGGAGCCUUCUUUAGUACGAGAGGACCGAGAAGGACAUACCUCUGGUGUACCAGUUAUCGUGCCAACGGUAAACGCUGGGUAGCUAUGUAUGGAGUGGAUAACCGCUGAAAGCAUCUAAGUGGGAAGCCCACCUCAAGAUAAGUAUUCUCC
rnacentral:rRNA from 1 species